rnacentral:rRNA from 1 species
GAUGAACGCUGGCGGCGUGCUUAACACAUGCAAGUCGAACGAAGCACUUUAUUUGAUUUCCUUCGGGACUGAUUAUUUUGUGACUGAGUGGCGGACGGGUGAGUAACGCGUGGGUAACCUGCCUUGUACAGGGGGAUAACAGUUGGAAACGGCUGCUAAUACCGCAUAAGCGCACGGCAUCGCAUGAUGCAGUGUGAAAAACUCCGGUGGUAUAAGAUGGACCCGCGUUGGAUUAUCUAGUUGGUGAGGUAACGGCCCACCAAGGCGACGAUCCAUAGCCGACCUGAGAGGGUGACCGGCCACAUUGGGACUGAGACACGGCCCAAACUCCUACGGGAGGCAGCAGUGGGGAAUAUUGCACAAUGGGCGAAAGCCUGAUGCAGCGACGCCGCGUGAGCGAAGAAGUAUUUCGGUAUGUAAAGCUCUAUCAGCAGGGAAGAUAAUGACGGUACCUGACGAAGAAGCACCGGCUAAAUACGUG